UCCUUCUUCUUCCUUAGAGCUCCAUGAGAGCCUCUCCAAUGGAGAUCUUGUAACACCAAUAAACAUAGUGAAAUUCGUGGAUGUAGGUCUCAAGAGACCGAACCACGUAAAAAGAUUUGUGUCUCAUUUACUUUCAUGUUCUUUUAUCUUCUUUUAUGUAUGUUUGAUGGUUAAGAUCAUCUUGGGAUAGUAAUCAGAUUUUAUGCUACUACAUUUUGGUGCUAGAAACAGGGACUAGAGUGAUGAAAUUAUCCAACCUAGUACCUUAAAACAUCAUUUAUUCACUGGCAGCAAGUUCUGUAACAGAUCCAGUGAAGAUCUAGUUGAAAUAAGUGCUUCUAGGGUAAUCUUGUGAAAGAUACAGGAGCUUCGGACAACAAAGUGCCUCGUCUGAUCCCAAAAAAAAUCUUAAGCAAAAAAGAAAAAAAAAAUAGGCGUGAAAAUCAGAGUUGUUAUUACACAAAAAAGAGAAAAGAGAGACUUCUCUACAUGGCGGAAAACACGAAGCAAAGCUUCUUCAAACACAGAAAUCAGCAGAUUUCUCACCAACCAUCAACAAUCAGCCGGGAAUCGAAAUUCUUUCUUCCUUUCUCUUCAUCUUAUUCUUAAUUUUCAGAUCUACAAGAUUUAAAACAGAAAUUUUGAGAAAAAUCAUCUUACAAAAACUAUGGCUUGUUCUUUAAUACAAGUCUGAUUUUGUUUCAAAAUCUUGAUUAAAAAUGAUUUUCGUUUACAAAUCUACAAUCAGUAGAUCUUACUCUUCAAACCCAUUGAAGAUUUUUUCAAAAACCACUGAUAAUCAAUAUCUUAGCCUAAUUUAGGGCCUUUUUCUUUGAUGUCUCUUCUUACUGCUCUACGUAGCAAUUGUAGAACGAGUUUACUGAGAUUUCUCAUUUGAUUAAGUUGCCGUUUCAGAAAAAUGAUGAUGGACGAAGUCGCAUCGGAGCAGUUAUGAUUACAGACCACCAUCAGCACCAUCUCGGGUGAACAAUUCGUGAAAAAUUACAGAGUCAAUCGGACUCAAUCCAUACCAGGCAGCUCAAUUAGAGCAACCAUCUCGUAAUGGCAGUACUGCUGAAGUCGGGGCAUCAACUUCAGAUGAUUAGAUCGGAAAGCUGCCUUCUAUCACGAACACCAUUCUCGGAUAGAAAUCCAAGCUCAAUCGAUAUCGGACUCAAUCCAUAUCGGAGCAACAGUCUCGGCCAGACAAUGAAAAGCUCAGCCCACAAUGGACCAGGAGCGAUAUAUGAACAAAAGUCACAUACUCACAUUGUGACAGCGAUAUUCGACUCAACAAUUUGUCUACGAGCACCAAACUCGGACAGACACUCAACAACACAACAACAGCUAACCAUCAACAUCUUAGCCUGAUUGGGCUUCUUUUCUUCACUAUAUCUUCGUGUUGUCUUGCAUAGCACCGAACGAAGUGAUUACUAAUCUAGUUGGUUUGUUGUUGCAGAGAGACGAUGAUGGACAAAAUCGCAUCGGAAUGAUUCACCAUCAUCGUGACCAACUCGAGACCAUCUCGUGAAGAAACAAAGCUCGGACUACAAGCCAACCAGAGCUCGGACUAUAAACGAUAUCGGAAAUAGAAUCCAUAUCGGAGCAACCAUCUCGUGCAGCUCAAUCCAGAGCAUCUAUCUCUGACAGACAAUGACAAAGCUCAACCCACAUCGGACUCACCAGUCAUCGGACCUGAUUCCCUCGUACUCGUCAGUACAUCUCCGAGCACCAAUCUCGGACGAGAAAUCAACAUGACAACCAGAGCAUGAACUCAAUAACGAUGAUGGACGAAACCACAUCAAAAUCACCAGCUCGUGUUCAACUCGAGACCAACUCGCGGAGAAACAACCAGCACGAUGGGAUCCAACCAGAGCUCGGACUCAUCAUUCUCAGACCACAGGCGAGGACAGAGUCAACCAACACGAUGAUGUUUAACCGAGUUCCAAUCUCGGACUCAAUCCAUAUCGGACAACUCAAUACUGAGCACCAACCUCGGAAAGACAACCAGCACGAUUAAGAUCGUAAAGUCAAGUAACAGCUAGCAUGACUCGAGCCAACCAGAGCUCGGACGAGGAGCAUGAACUCGGAUCGUGACAGUGACAUCGUAUCAUAAGCAUCAACUCGGACAUGUCACCCGAUCAACAACUCGGAUAACACUCUAUCCCACAUCUAUCUUCUGCUUUACUUUUUUAAUUGCAUACAUGAGAUGCUAGAUUAGUUAUAGCUAAAUGCUUCAUACUCAAAUGCUUAAACAAAUACUGAAUGUUUUAAAUUUAAAAGAAAUUUGAUACAUUCAAUGAACAGCAGGUGCACGUCCAUAUAUCCAAUAGAGGGGCUCAGCUAUUGCACCUGCUUUAGAUGGUUCAUCCAUGCUCGCCAGGAUUAUCUCGGAACAACCAUAUUGGAAACAAUAUACAUGGCUUAAUAAUCACUAUCUGGCUUCACAGCAGGCUAAGGGCAAAAGGCAACCUCAUGACAAAGGCUACAAAGCUAAAGGACGAUACGAUCUCCUACCUUUCUUGCCAGUCUAAGGACAAAAAGGGCACUUUCUAACUUAUAUAUUGAAUAUACAUAUGCCUAACCAAGGCACAAUUUUGCUUAAAAGCAAGCUAGAAAAGCUAGUCUCAAAGACUUAAGCCGAUAUACGUAUCGCACUGGUACAUCCAGAAUUAGGUGCCGCAAUCUAGCGCACCUGCUCUACAACGAGCAUCACUAUAAAUGACAAUGUGACAUCAUAUCGCAUAAAAAUGAACAAAAAAUAUUUACAUAAAAUAAAAGCUUUUAGAAUUAAUGAAUGCUUUAACGUUAAAUGUGAUGAAUUAACAUUUCAUGUUUUGCAGCAAAUCUCCAUUAUGGUUGGAGAAUUCAGUUAAGUCGGAUUAAUUAUCCGCAUAAAGUUAAGUCGGAUUAAACGUAAUCCGCAUAAAGGCAUGCUUAACCUGCACUAAGGUUAGAGUCGGAUUAGUCGUAAUCCGCAGUAAAGCCUUGUGUUUCUGUCUUCUUGCAGGUACACUUGAUGUAUGUAUGGUACAUCUGCUAGUUAUAUAUGUGUUUUCCUGCAGGGUUAAAUGGUGUAUCAUACAUACAUCCUCCUCUUGUUCUAUAUGUAUGUGUUUGCUAGUUAUAUAUAUAUGUGUUUUCCUGCAGGGUUAAAUGGUGUAUCAUACAUACAUCCUCCUCUUGUUCUAUAUGUAUGUGUUUGCUUGCGGGGACAUUUGAUGAAUGUUGAGUGAAUGUGAUAUAAAUAUCUUCCUCUUGUCAUGUAUGUGUUUUCCUGCAGAGUAACUUAGUGUUUUUAAUA